rnacentral:tRNA from 1 species
GAGGGUAUAGCUCAGUGGUAGAGCACAUGCUUAGCAUGCACAAGGUCCUGGGCUCAAUCCCCAGUAUCUCCA